AACCUAAAGAAUUUGGCGGUGUUUUAUUCUAUUCAGAGGAAUUUGUCUCGUAAUCGAUAGUCCUCGUUUUAUCUUUCUUAUUCUAUUGAUAUGUAUAUCGCCGUUAUAAGCUAAUUUUUUAAGAGUAUUGGCUUAAAAUAUUAUUAUAUUUUAUUUCAGGUCAAGGUGCAGUUUAUGAUUAAGUGUUGAUGAGUUACAAUAUGAUAGUGUAAACGAAUAUAAUUUUUAUAAUAUUAUUGAAGGUGGAUUUGAUUGUAAUUUUGAUUAUAGUGUUGAUUUGAUUAUUAGUUCUAAAAUGAGUACACAUCGCCCGGUCGCUCUA
rnacentral:rRNA from 1 species